rnacentral:rRNA from 1 species
UACGGAGGGAGCUAGCGUUGUUCGGAAUUACUGGGCGUAAAGCGUGCGCAGGCGGUUUUGUAAGCCAGAUGUGAAAUCCCCGGGCUUAACCUGGGAAUGGCAUUUGGGACUGCAAGGCUCGAGUGCGGCAGAGGAGACUGGAAUUCCUGGUGUAGCAGUGAAAUGCGUAGAUAUCAGGAGGAACACCGAUGGCGAAGGCAGGUCUCUGGGCUGACACUGACGCUCAUGCACGAAAGCGUGGGGAGCAAACAGG